rnacentral:misc_RNA from 1 species
AGAGAAAACUGGGUUUCGACCCGACCUACCCCACACACACCUGUGAACAUGUUUUACCGUCGAACGCUCUGCGGGGGGCGAGAGCCCCUCGCGGUGGCGUCCGGCGCUUUACACAAACGUCUUAUACAGUCAUGAACGUAAUGUUAUUUUAACAAAACA